rnacentral:rRNA from 1 species
UACAGAGGUCCCAAGCGUUGUUCGGAUUCAUUGGGCGUAAAGGGUGCGUAGGCGGUGCCGCAAGUCAGAUGUGAAAUCUCGGGGCUUAACCCCGAAACUGCAUUUGAUACUGCGGUGCUUGAGGACUGGAGAGGAGACUGGAAUUCACGGUGUAGCAGUGAAAUGCGUAGAUAUCGUGAGGAAGGCCAGUGGCGAAGGCGAGUCUCUGGACAGUUCCUGACGCUGAGGCACGAAGGCCAGGGGAGCAAACGGG